rnacentral:rRNA from 1 species
GGUCAAUGGACGUAAGUCUGAACCAGCCAAGUAGCGUGCAGGAUUGACGGCCCUAUGGGUUGUAAACUGCUUUUGUUGGGGAGUAAAGUGAGGCACGCGUGCCUUUUUGCAUUUACCCUUCGAAUAAGGACCGGCUAAUUCCGUGCCAGCAGCCGCGGUAAUACGGAAGGUCCAGGCGUUAUCCGGAUUUAUUGGGUUUAAAGGGAGUGUAGGCGGUCUGUUAAGCGUGUUGUGAAAUUUAGGUGCUCAACAUCUAACUUGCAGCGCGAACUGGCGGACUUGAGUGCACGCAACGUAUGCGGAAUUCAUGGUGUAGCGGUGAAAUGCUUAGAUAUCAUGACGAACUCCGAUUGCGAAGGCAGCGUACGGGAGUGUUACUGACGCUUAAGCUCGAAGGUGCGGGUAUCGAACAGGAUUAGAUACCCUGGUAGUCCGCACGGUAAACGAUGGAUGCCCGCUGUUAGCGCCUGGCGUUAGCGGCUAAGCGAAAGCAUUAAGCAUCCCACCUGGGGAGUACGCCGGCAACGGUGAAACUCAAAGGAAUUGACGGGGGCCCGCACAAGCGGAGGAACAUGUGGUUUAAUUCGAUGAUACGCGAGGAACCUUACCCGGGCUGGAAUUGCAGACGCAGGAUACAGAGAUGUUGACUCCCUUCGGGGCGUCUGUGAAGG